rnacentral:rRNA from 1 species
CGAACGCUGGCGGCAUGCCUAACACAUGCAAGUCGAACGAGACCUUCGGGUCUAGUGGCGCACGGGUGCGUAACGCGUGGGAACCUGCCUUAGGUCGGAAUAACCAGUGAGAAAUUACCUGCUAAUACCGGAUGAUGUCUUCGGGACCAAAGAUUUAUCGCCUUUAGAUGGGCCCGCGUUGGAUUAGCUAGUUGGUGGGGUAAAGGCCUACCAAGGCGACGAUCUGUAGCUGGUCUGAGAGGACGACCAGCCACACUGGGACUGAGAUACGGGCCAGACUCCUACGGGAGGCAGCAGUAGGGAAUAUUGGGCAAUGGUCGCAAGACUGACCCAGCCAUGCCGCGUGCAGGAAGACGGCCCUCUGGGUUGUAAACUGCUUUUAUCUGGGAAGAAAAAGUCCAUGCGUGGAAAAUUGCCGGUACCAGAUGAAUAAGCACCGGCUAACUCCGUG